CAGCAGCCGCGGUAAUACGUAGGGUGCAAGCGUUAAUCGGAAUUACUGGGCGUAAAGCGUGCGCAGGCGGUUUGUUAAGACAGAUGUGAAAUCCCCGGGCUCAACCUGGGAACCGCAUUUGUGACUGGCAAGCUAGAGUAUGGCAGAGGAGGGUGGAAUUCCGCGUGUAGCAGUGAAAUGCGUAGAUAUGCGGAGGAACACCGAUGGCGAAGGCAGCCCCCUGGGCCAGUACUGACGCUCAUGCACGAAAGCGUGGGGAGCAAACAGGAUUAGAUACCCGAGAGUCCCUGUCUCUUAUACA
rnacentral:rRNA from 1 species